rnacentral:rRNA from 1 species
AUACGGAGGGUGCAAGCGUUAAUCGGAAUUACUGGGCGUAAAGCGCACGCAGGCGGUUUGUUAAGUCAGAUGUGAAAUCCCCGGGCUCAACCUGGGAACUGCAUCUGAUACUGGCAAGCUUGAGUCUCGUAGAGGGGGGUAGAAUUCCAGGGGUAGCGGUGAAAUGCGUAGAGAUAUGGAGGAAUACCGGUGGCGAAGGCGGCCCCCUGGACGAAGACUGACGCUCAGGUGCGAAAGCGUGGGGAGCAAACAGGAUUAGAUACCCUGGUAGUCCACGCCGUAAACGAUGUCGACUUGGAGGUUGUGCCCUUGAGGCGUGGCUUCCGGAGCUAACGCGUUAAGUCGACCGCCUGGGGAGUACGGCCGCAAGGUUAAAACUCAAAUGAAUUGACGGGG